rnacentral:rRNA from 1 species
CCUACGGGAGGCAGCAGUGGGGGAUAUUGCACAAUGGGGGAAACCCUGAUGCAGCGACGCCACGUGGGCGAAGAAGUAUUUCGGUAUGUAAAGCCCUAUCAGCAGGGAAGAAGAAAUGACGGUACCGGAGUAAGAAGCACCGGCUAAAUACGUGCCAGCAGCCGCGGAAAUACGUAUGGUGCAAGCGUUAUCCAGAUUUACUGGGUGUCAAGGGAGCUCAGGUGGAACGGCAAGCAUGGUGUGAAAGCCCGCGGCCCAACGGCGGGACUGCAUUUGAAACUGCCGGGCUGGAGUGCCGGAGAGGUAGGAGGAAUUCCUAGUGUAGCGGUGAAAUGCGUAGAUAUUAGGAGGAACACCAGUGGCGAAGGCGGCCUACUGGACGGUGACUGACGCUGAGGCUCGAAAGCGUGGGUAGCAAACAGGAUUAGAUACCCCAGUAGUC